GAUAUAGUCAUCAUGAUAUAAUCAUAUCAUAAUGAUUAUAUGAUAUAAUCAUUAUGACACAGCAGAACAUUGACAUUGUGUAAAUAAUAGGCUCUGUUGUAGGUCUAAGCCAUGCAGGUGCAUCAAUCAGGACAACAGCCGGUGCGUUCAUCCCUGUGUGCUCUGUCUCCAGAAAAAUACCCAACACAUAAUCCACGUCCUUGGGCACCGGCUGUUGGGUUGAGUGGACCCGGAGCGAUGAAUAAACGAGGCAGAACGACUUGCAAGAGCAGGAACCUUUUCACCUGACGGUCUUUCGUUUCGAUUGGCUUAAAACUGUUUGCAACACCGUGACAUUCUGCCAAACCGGGCUGGAACACAGCGGAAAGAUCCAGCUCCGUCAGUAACAGGAGGGGAGGGGACGAGGUCAACACGGAGCAGAAAGGGAAGUCGAUACGGGCGAGCAGCUGAGAGAGCGGCCAAACAGGAAGCAGGAAGGGAAACCAGGGAUCAAGCCAAAGCAUAACCCUCCAGGUACUGAAGGAGGGAAAUCAAGACAUCAUCAGUAUCCCCUUAUUCACACAGGGAGGUAAGACGGGUUUGGAGGUGGCAAACUGGAGCCUGAAUCCUGGACAGGUUGUAGGUUUGAAGAUCUGAGGAGUGGGACGAUGGAACGGAGGAGAGUGAUCCACCGGGUGAAGUCCUGGGGAUGCUUGAGCUGCAGUGGAUCGACCUGAAGAGUGGAGGGAACAAGGUCGUGUACAUGUACCGGCACAACAACGUCAGGACUCCGCUGACGCCCGCGAUGUCCGUCCUCCUGAGCAUCAGGACAUCGUGUUGCCUGGUGUAACUGUUAGUCUGCGUGUGCAAGUCAAGAGGGGGAAAACGGGGAAGGCCGAUGCGUAGAUUACAGUCAGUUCAGCACAUGAUUGCAACAAAUGAAUGGACGAGGUGUACAGUACUGAGCCGCUGGCGCUGACGACAGCAGUGGCAGGAAUGACUGGGAUGCAGAGUUGGACGAUUAUUGGUUUUGUUUGCUUCAGAUUUACAGCACUGGCCAAUUUCCUGUCCCGCGUUAUCUGAUCGCCUGCGCCGGUGCGAUCGGGCAGGACGUCGCCCAGCAGACCGAUCAGUAGGGGGAAAAAAAAAAAACUAGUCAUGAUUUAUAACUGUGGAUGUGUGAGUGAAUUAUGAAACACAUGAAUGUCUUAUUGGUAGUCCUGUAACCGGGUGCUUGAUUGGAUAAGGAGGAAGAAAAUAGAUUUAUGCAGCUAAAUAUGGCUGCAUGGAUGAAUGACCUCACUAAGAUGUACUAGAGCAGUGGUUCUCAAACUUUUUUCAGUGAUGUACCCCCUUAAAAACAUAUUUUUAGUCAAGUACCCCCUGAC